CUCUCUCCGGCUCUGCCAUGGUAAGAUGUGACUGCUUCCCCUUCACCGUCUGCCAUAAUUGUAAGUUUCCUGGGGCCUCACAGCCAUGCUUCCUGUACAGCCUGCGGAACAGUGAGUCAAUUAAACCUGUUUUCUUCAUAAGUUACCCAGUCUCAGGUAGUUCUUUAUAGCAGUGUGAGAACGGACUAAUAGACACACCUACCCGAAUUUAUUACACAGAUGUCAUGGGAGCCUCCCAGGAAGGAUGUUUGUCUCUGACCAGUAACUAAUCUGGAGUCACCUGAGGGAAGGAGUAAUCCCUCCCGGGCGUCCUAUCCUGGCAAUCACCUGGAUUUGCC
rnacentral:lncRNA from 1 species